UACGAAGGGGGCUAGCGUUGCUCGGAAUCACUGGGCGUAAAGGGUGCGUAGGCGGGUCUUUUAAGUCAGGGGUGAAAUCCUGGAGCUCAACUCCAGAACUGCCUUUGAUACUGAAGAUCUUGAGUUCGGGAGAGGUGAGUGGAACUGCGAGUGUAGAGGUGAAAUUCGUAGAUAUUCGCAAGAACACCAGUGGCGAAGGCGGCUCACUGGCCCGAUACUGACGCUGAGGUGCGAAAGCGUGGGGAGCAACA
rnacentral:rRNA from 1 species